AAACUUGCCUUCAGAUGGGUCAAGAUUAUUUUGUUCAAAUGACCCUGAACUUCCAAAAGUUUUUCUUUCUGAAUUUAAAAGUUUCUAUAACGUUGCUUUGAGAAGCACCAUGGAUCGUUUCUAUUUAAACUUGCUUUUGCGCGAUUUUCAUUGUAGCAGGAGUUUAUUCCUGCUGAAGAUUUCUGACUUCAAUGACUAAACUAUCAUUGUGUACAAUCAGAUGUUAGAUACUGCAGAAAUAAACGUUACUGUGCUGAAGAUUUCUGACUUCAAUGACUAAGUAAAACUAUCAUUGUGUACAAUCAAAUGUUAGAUACUGCAGAAAUAAACAAAAUGUAUUGUUAACCUUCGCGUUACGUUAAGGAUGCGCAGUUUAUUUAUGAAGUGCAACAAGAACCUACACGCGGAUGACAUCAAAGUACUGCGAGAGCGACUCGAAAGAUCAUGGACAGCAUUCUGAUUUCAAAUCACUCUCGCGGUAUUUUAACGUCAUCUUUUUCUAGUUCCUGCAACUCAGCAUUACGUCGAACACCUUGUCAAAAAUGAUUGAGAUGGCCAAUCAAAUCAAAAAAGGCGAGUGCCACUGGCCAAUCACAUAACAGAAGACGAGCUUUCCUGUUAACGGAAGCCGAGCGGCGGCCAAUCAAAUUAACCAAUAGGCGGGGUUACCGUCGGAGUAGCAGUUACACCGUGUCAAUCAAUCAUAACGGACACAGAGAUUUCAAAGGCAGCAGGAUGAAAGAUAUGUGUCUGUGUUCAUCAAGACAUGAAGACUAUGGAGUGGGACAAGAGAAGGAUGAUGGGGUGUAUAUUCAAAUAGACACAUUAAGUCACAUUGUGAUUUCAGUGAAAGCUGAUAAAUACAGAGGGCUGGACAGUGGUUUCAUUCAUUAGGUAAAGAGGUGGGACAAGGAUGCUGACAGGACAGGAGGAGGUGACAUUCAGACAUUCAGCGCAGACAUUUUCAUCCAAAGCAACUUGAGGAAGAAAACAGAAGCAGUUCAUCCUAAAAGUGGGCUGCUGUAAUGUUUACAUCUAUGGAAAGAGGAGCUGAGAAGAAAAGAGAGGCUGGAAAGCAUUACUUCUUGUUGAGGACAAUCCUGAAUAGGAACACUUUCUCAUACACAUAGAUUAUUAUUAGUGUUUGAUUGUUUGUUUCAUUUUUAUGAAUUGUAUUGUUUUAAUUUUUCGUUUUAUUUGAAAUUACCUAAGUUAGAUUCAUGCUAAUACUUUAACUGGACCUUGU